CCAGCGCUGCGGUGAGCGGCGGCGGGCGGCGCCAUGGCCGACAGGGCGCGGGCGGCGCUCUCCGAGGCGGGCUGGUAUCUUUCAGAUGAAGGAAUUGAAGCUUGCUUAAGUUCAUCUGAAAAAAUUAAUACAAAUGAUAUAAUCCUAGUUGCCCUUAAUACAGAUUUAAGAACGAUUGGCAAGAAAUUCCUACCCAGUGACAUCAAUGGUGGAAAGGUGGAAAAGCUAGAAGGGCCAUGUGUUCUGCAAAUACAGAAAAUUCGCAAUGUUGCCGCACCAAAGGAUAACGAAGAAUCUCAGGCUGCUCCCAGAAUGUUACGUUUACAGAUGACGGAUGGACACACAAGCUGCACAGCUAUAGAAUACAGUAGCAUGUCAAAAAUAAGCCUGAACACUCCACCUGGAACAAAAAUUAAGCUUUCAGGAAUUGUUGAAGUGAGAAAUGGGUUCUUGCUACUGAAUGACAGUAACACAGCAGUUCUUGGAGGCGAAGUGGAGCAUCUUAUAGAAAAGUGGGAAUUACAAAGGAGUUUGGCGAAACACAAUAGGAGUAACAUUGGAACAGAAGGCGGUCCUCCUCCUUUUGUACCUUUUGGGCAGAAAUGUGCAUCUCAUGUGCAAGUGGAUAGCAGAGACCUUGAUCGCAGAAAGACUCUGCAAAUGACAAAUGCUGUAAAAACUGUUGUGGACAAUGAUGAAUUUGAAAAGCAGAGAACAGCUGCUAUUGCAGAAGUAGCAAAGAGCAAGGAGACCAAGACGUUCGGAGGAGGCGGUGGUAGUAGCAGAAGUAAUCUCAGUGUGAGUGCUGGAGGGAAUCGAAACAGGGAACUGUUCCAGAAAGAGAAGAUAGCAAAACCUGAGGGGAAGAAUGAAGGUGUCUACCGAGAAUUGGUUGAUGAAAAAGCUCUAAAACACAUAACAGAAAUGGGUUUCAGCAAAGAAGCAGCAAGGCAGGCACUUAUGGAUAACAGUAACAGCCUAGAGGCAGCAUUAAAUUUUCUUCUGAACAACAGUAAACAGAAACCCAUUCAGGGACCACCACCUAGAGGUAAAGGGAAGGGCCGAGGCCGAAUAAGACCUGAAGAUGAAGAAGAGCUAGGAAAUGCCAGACCAUCUGCACCAAGCACACUGUUUGAUUUCUUGGAAUCCAAAAUGGGUACUCUAACUGUAGAGGAACCAAAAUUACAAUUUCAACCACCACAUCAAGUACAGCACAAAGUUAUGAAUACAGAACAGAAUGGCAUCAAAGAGAAUCAUUCAAGACACAUUUCACGCAAUGACACGAGACAACUGAGGAAUGAGAAACCCCCUCGUUUUCAAAGGGAUUUUCAGAAUUCAAGACAGGCUUUGGAAAGUAGUGGGUUACCAAGAAACAGAGGUCCUGAAAGGCACAGCUCUUUAGAACAUUGGACAGAUGAAAAAAAUAAAAGUGACAGACAUUUUCCUAGAAAUGAUAGGCCAAAGGAUUUGAGUUAUCCCAUAACCACUCACCAGAGUGAUAUUACUUUCAAGAAAAGAGAUAACAAUAUGCAAAACAGAAUAGGAAAAGGCAUGUCUUUCACAGAAUUCAAGGAAAACUCUGCUGCUCAAGAUACUACAGACAACAAUAACCAGAAACGUGGGAAAAGGGAAAACCAAACACACAAUUCUGAAAAUUUUUGUGAUAGGAAGGCACGAACAAUAAGUGGUGAAGCCUUUAUGGUAAAAAGUGAACAACAUUUUGGUGUUAAUAAUGACUACCAAAAUCCCAGCAGGACUGAUAAUUUUAAUACUGUACCAAAUGGAGAUACUGAGCAUCAUCAGAAAGGAAGACGAGUAGGACCUGUCAAAUCAUCAGGACCCACUACGAUCCCAUCUUUUGAUGAUAAAAUGUUGUAUUACAACACCGGUCCCAAAAGAAGAACUGGUCCCAUAAAACCAGAGAAAAUACUAGAACCAUCUAUUCACAUGGAGUAUGGAAAAAGUUGGAGACCAGGGGAUGAAUGUUUUGCUCUUUAUUGGGAAGACAACAAGUUCUACCGGGCAGAAAUUGAAGCUCUCCAUUCUUCUGGGACAACUGCAGUUGUUAAAUUCAGUGAUUAUGGAAAUUAUGAAGAGGUACUUCUCAGCAACAUCAGGCCUGUUCAUGCAGACACAUGGGAGGACGAAGAAGAAACAUAUGAGCAAACUCUAGAAUUCCGCAGAGGAGGUGAUGGUCAGCCAAGACGGUCCACACGACCUACUCAACAAUUUUAUCAACCUCCCAGAGCUAGAAACUGAUGAGUAAGGAAAAAAAGAAUGUCAUGAUAGUCUGAAAAAGAAGAGGAACAAGUAAUCAGAAAUGAGUGUUUUGAAGGAUUGUAGCUUUUGGAGGAGCUUGAAAGAACCUGUGAGUGUGGACCUAAACUUUCUUGGAGUCGGCGGAAAUUCACUGGCAGUUCCAACUUGCUGAAGACUUCUAGAGGAAGUUCUGGCUUUUUCCAGACAGCAGGAUGGAACAAAGAAAGCUCAUGUGAGCAGAAGGAAUUUGGACCUGACACCACAAGAGACUUUUUUAAAGUUCUUAGAUAAAUGAAGCUGAAUACUUUUUACAUAUGAAAGAGGCAAAUUGUCAUUGCUGCCAUCAAUAAAACCACAGUGCACUAUUCUAUUCUUUGCCUUGUAUUCUUUUUACUGAGCCUCCACUGUUAGUUAACAUAAUAAUGUAUCAUGAUUUUUAUUAAUUUUGAACUGAUUUUGAUUCUAAUAUUGCUUCUAGUAAAAUAAAAUUAAAACUUAUAUUUUCUCAAAAGAUGACAGGAUUGGGCAUUUAAUUUAGAUUUUUGGCUAACAUUAGUAAACCUGUUAAAAAAAUUUCAGCUAAUUAUUGUACAGUAAAAUUCUGAAUAGGUUUUGACUGGGUUUUCUGUGGGUUUUUUUUCCAAAGUUGCUGAAGGUCAAAUUACAUAUUUGCCUACUAUGUUUUUCAUGAUCUGUGACCAGAAGAUCAAAGGGGAGAAAAGAAAAACAUCAGUUUCAAUAGUCUUUUUCUAAAUAAUUUUAGGUAAACAUUUUAUUUUUAGGAAUAUUUAUAUUACAGAAAUAGAAAUAUUUCUAAAAGGUACAGAAAAGUCAUUUAAACAAAAAAUACCUAAAGAUGCACGACCAUUUUAAGCAUAACUAUGUGUAUACAUGCACACAUGUGUGAGCUGUUGAAUAGUAGGUACUUUCUUGCAGCUUUAAACUCUGCUUUUAUUGCUUCAUAUUACUAGAAUUUUUUCUAUUGUCAUUGAUGCUUGGAAGAAUCUUAUGUCAAACUACUUUUCAUUCUAAGCUGUAUCUUCAAAUCUUAUGUGAUUAUGACAAAUAGCUGAAAUUUCACUAUUUCUUUAUCUGAGAAGCACUCAAAAUCUAUGUAACAUGCAAAUCCCUUCUAAGCUUUAUUCUGAUCACUUGAAAUAGCACGUGUUUUGAGGUAGUUUUAUAAGGAUAGAAUUAUACCUGAGAGAUGUAUUGAUGGUAUAAGUUGUACAAUUAAUUCUACUGAAUUUUUCUCUGAGUGCUCAUACAAAACUCUGUUUGAAUAGAACCUUGUUUAUUUGGAUGAUAAGACCUUUUAUAUUGAGGAUGUAAUUGAAUGUACCUGCAGUACAGAAUGUGGAUUACUGUCUGAAUGCAGUCACAUCUUAAUCAAUCACAUAAAUAUUUGCAGAAUAGUAAGGAACCAAAUGUUUUGCUGCCUUAGUGGAUCCUAAGCAGCUUCUUGAUAAUUAUGAUGCAACACACUAAUAAUUCUAAAGAAUUUUGGAAGUUAAAACAUGAGCUGUACAACAUUAAAGUUCUUCACUUUUAACUGACACACAACAAAUUUUAUGAAGUUUGUUAGAUUUAAGUUAGAAACCACUUUCCAAAUACUAUGAAUCAUCCUGCUCGGUUCUGCUAAAUUGUACCAGCAAAUAAAUAAACUAUAGAUCUAAUAC